AAGCGGAGGAAAAGAAACCAACAGGGAUUGCCCUAGUAACGGCGAGUGAAGCGGCAACAGCUCAAAUUUGAAAUCUGGCCUUUCGGGUCCGAGUUGUAAUUUGUAGAGGAUGCUUUUGGUGCGGUACCUUCCGAGUUCCUUGGAACAGGACGCCUUAGAGGGUGAGAGCCCCGUACGGUUGGAUACCAAGCCUCUGUAAAGCUCCUUCGACGAGUCGAGUAGUUUGGGAAUGCUGCUCUAAAUGGGAGGUAAAUUUCUUCUAAAGCUAAAUACCGGCCAGAGACCGAUAGCGCACAAGUAGAGUGAUCGAAAGAUGAAAAGUACUUUGAAAAGAGGGUUAAAUAGCACGUGAAAUUGUUGAAAGGGAAGCGUUUAUGACCAGACCUUUGUCUGGCGGAUCAUCUGGUGUUCUCACCGGUGCACUUCGCCAGGCUCAGGCCAGCAUCGGUUUCUGUAGGGGGACAAAGGCCCCGGGAACGUAGCUCUCUACGGGGAGUGUUAUAGCCCGGGGCGCAAUACCUCUGCGGGGACCGAGGUUCGCGCUUCUGCAAGGAUGCUGGCGUAAUGGUCAUCAACGACCCGUCUUGAAACACGGACCAAGGAGUCGAACAUUUAUGCGAGUGUUUGGGUGUCAAACCCUCACGCGUAAUGAAAGUGAACGGAGGUGAGAGCCCGUACGGGUGCAUCAUCGACCGAUCCUGAUGUCUUCGGAUGGAUUUGAGUAAGAGCAUAACUGUUCGGACCCGAAAGAUGGUGAACUAUGCGUGGAUAGGGUGAAGCCAGAGGAAACUCUGGUGGAGGCUCGCAGCGGUUCUGACGUGCAAAUCGAUCGUCAAAUCUGCGCAU
rnacentral:rRNA from 1 species